ACACUGCACAGUCAAUAGUUAUACCUUGACCAAUCACACACUGAGAUUGGAAACUUUGCACCCUAUGUCAAAUCAAAUCAAUUACAUGUGAUCUCUCAAAUUAGCCCCCAGCUGAGCCCUGUGCUUGUAGACUGGGUGGCUGACGACAUUGGGAGGCUAAUUUGAUUCAGAGAGGUCUGAUAGCUAGCAACAAUGACAAGAAGCUGCCAUGUGGGGAAUUCACCCCCCGGUGGACUACCCCAGUAUAGCACCCUAUUUGGGAACCGCCUGUCCUCCAGUUCCACUCCUGCCAGCUCUCCAGGCGUGGAUGCUGUGUCGGGAUCUCAAACAUUUGCAAGCUUCCCCAACCCGUUCAGCUCCAGUUCCAACUCUCAGCAGCAACAGCCUGCCCUGUCCCCCAGUAACCCAUUCAACAGGUCCACCUCAGGAGGUGACUCCAGUGGGUUCGUCAGCUCUCCAACCUCAGUGUUCCCUCCGUCCGCCACCUUCCCAACUCCGGCUACCCAGAAUGCAUUUCCACACAAGCAUGCCAACAACCAGGAAGCCAAUGGUUUUGCCUCUUUCCCGGCAUCGGACUCUCAACCCAAAGUUCCUCGUCCAAUGUCAGUGAACCCAUUCACUGGGAAUGUUUACCCGAGUAGAGGAACGUCGCGAAACCCUUUCAUCUGAUACCGGUGCCCCGGCUACCCCCCAACCAUCCUUGGGCACAUGAAGACCAGUGAACUUUAGGAGCUGCUGCCAUUUCAAUGCCUCUAGAGUAUUUUCGCCUUCAGAGAGAGGGGAAGCAUUCAUGCAGGCUCCUCUCCCCUCUACGUGUGUGUGUGUGUGUGUGUGUGUGUGUGUGUGGAGUCUCUGUACAGUAAUGUUGAUCCGUUGAAAUAACGUGUGUGUGUGUGUGUGUGACCAUAUAUUAAAGGUGUUUGUAUGACAAUAGAAUCCACCUCAGGGCUCAGUGGGUGCCAUCAACAAGACACACACACACACACAUACACACUUUGCUGUUUCUCCCAUGUCCCGCUUUUGUGCAACAACAGUCCCAUUCUUAAAACAGUACGCCAAAUCAUCACAUUCGGCUUGCUUUUUUGGAGCCACCUCUGAAAAUGGCCUUCAAAAAUUAGCCAGUCCAGUCAGUCAGUGUGUAUCAAGUUACAGAAGGGAGAGAUAUCCCGCUUUAAGGCUAUGAAAGCUGAACAUGAUGACGAGCAAAAAAUUAUGACAAGCAAAGCAUUUUUUUUCCCUUUAGUGAUGGUUAUGGCAGCCUUAACAUAACAUCCUCCUAAUGCAUGUAGAUAGGAAGACAUUACAGACAAGCCUGUCUUUCCCCCCCAUGUGCUGUGUGUCUGUAUGUGGAGAACACGUUUGUAUCGUUUUAUGUCCGUUUUUGUCUUGAGUAAAUUGUUUGUGUUUCAGUCUCAGGCUGCAUGUGCUUGGAGGGCUUCAAAGAGGAGAUACUAUUGAAUGUAAAAAGCUAUUUUCAAAACAUAACUGUUUUAUUUCUCCCUGUAAUGGACCAAAUAUGUGUUAUUUUGGGUGAAAAUAUGGAGAUGAAAUUGAUCUCUUGCAAACAAAAGAAAGAGUUCUAUUGAGAAAGUGUUUGUAAUGAUGUGUCCAUGUUCAUAAAUUCAAAUAUUUGUUGCGUCUUUAAACAG
rnacentral:lncRNA from 1 species